rnacentral:rRNA from 1 species
UGGAGUCGAGCAUGAAUGGGUCUACGGAAAUGAGCUGUCUCUUUUUGGUUAUAUUGAAGUUUCUUUAAGGGUGCAAAGUCCCUUGAUUAGAAAAAAGACGAGAAGACCCUUAGAGUUUUUAUUAAAGAUAAGAAUUUAUUCAAGUUUUUGCUGGGGCGGCAAAGAGACAAGUGAUUAAACUCUCUUUUUAUUGUUUUUAGAAGACGAAAAUGUUAAGAAUCAUUAAACUACCUUAGGGAUAACAGCAUAAUUAAGUUUUAGUUUGUGACCUCGAUGUUGGACUAGGAAGACUUUUGACCAGCAGUCAAAAAGUGUGGUUCUGUUCGAACUAA